AUGCACGGUUUUUCUGAUAUUUGUGAACUGUUCUUUUUUAAUGCAAUUGAUUGGCUUUAUACUGUUAGAGAAUUCUGUUUUGCUGUGAUAUUGGGACUCGGAGUUGAUCUUUUACAGGCUUCUUUGCGAAUUUUCGUGGGCUUUCAUUUUGUAAUUUUGUUUUGUUAUUUGGGUUGGAGCCUGCGACCUUAG